AGCAGUAGCCACGGUAAUACGAGGGGGGCAAGCGUUGUUCGGAAUUAUUGGGCGUAAAGGGCGCGUAGGCGGUUUGACAAGUUUCAUGUGAAAUCUAUGGGCUCAACCCAUAGUCUGCAUGGAAAACUGUCGGGCUUGAGUAUGGGAGAGGUGAGUGGAAUUUCCGGUGUAGCAGUGAAAUGCGUAGAGAUCGGAAGGAACAUCUGUGGCGAAGGCGACUAUCUGGGCCAACACUGACACUGAGGCACGAAAGCGUGGGGAGCAAACAGGAUUAGAUACCCCCGUAGUCCCUGUCUCUUAUAC
rnacentral:rRNA from 1 species